AAACAUGGCGGUUUGAUUAUUAAUUUAACGUCUGACCUGCCCACUGAUAUUGAAGGGCCGCAGUAUUUUGACUGUGCAAAGGUAGCAUAAUCAUUAGGUUCUUGAUUAGGAUCUGGUAUGAAAGGUUUAACGAAAUAUUAACUGUCUCUGUUUGAUAUAUUUAAUUUAACUUUUUAGUAAAAAGGCUAAUAUUUGGAUGAGGGACGAGAAGACCCUAUAGAGCUUGAUAGUUGUUUUAUUACAUUUAGAUAGUUUUUGAGUAAUUGUUGUUAUGAUAACUGUUUUACUGGGGCGGUACUAAGAUAAAUUUAACUCUUGUUUUGUUAAUAAAGAUAGAUAGAUAAAUGAAUCAUUCUAAUUGAUUUUAGAUAAAGUUACCUUAGGGAUAACAGCGUAAUUUAUUUGGAGAGUUCUUAUUGAUAAAUAUGUUUGCGACCUCGAUGUUGAAUUAAGAAUUCAGGGGAAUGGAGCAGUUUUCGAUGAGAGUCUGUUCGACUCUAAAAUUCUUACGUGAUCUGAG
rnacentral:rRNA from 1 species